rnacentral:rRNA from 1 species
ACGCUAGCUACAGGCUUAACACAUGCAAGUCGAGGGGCAGCAUGGUCUUAGCUUGCUAAGGCCGAUGGCGACCGGCGCACGGGUGAGUAACACGUAUCCAACCUGCCGUCUACUCUUGGACAGCCUUCUGAAAGGAAGAUUAAUACAAGAUGGCAUCAUGAGUUCACAUGUUCACAUGAUUAAAGGUAUUCCGGUAGACGAUGGGGAUGCGUUCCAUUAGAUAGUAGGCGGGGUAACGGCCCACCUAGUCUUCGAUGGAUAGGGGUUCUGAGAGGAAGGUCCCCCACAUUGGAACUGAGACACGGUCCAAACUCCUACGGGAGGCAGCAGUGAGGAAUAUUGGUCAAUGGGCGCAGGCCUGAACCAGCCAAGUAGCGUGAAGGAUGACUGCCCUAUGGGUUGUAAACUUCUUUUAUAAAGGAAUAAAGUCGGGUAUGUAUACCCGUUUGCAUGUACUUUAUGAAUAAGGAUCGGCUAACUCCGUGCCAGCAGCCGCGGUAAUACGGAGGAUCCGAGCGUUAUCCGGAUUUAUUGGGUUUAAAGGGAGCGUAGAUGGAUGUUUAAGUCAGUUGUGAAAGUUUGCGGCUCAACCGUAAAAUUGCAGUUGAUACUGGAUAUCUUGAGUGCAGUUGAGGCAGGCGGAAUUCGUGGUGUAGCGGUGAAAUGCUUAGAUAUCACGAAGAACUCCGAUUGCGAAGGCAGCCUGCUAAGCUGCAACUGACAUUGAGGCUCGAAAGUGUGGGUAUCAAACAGGAUUAGAUACCCUGGUAGUCCACACGGUAAACGAUGAAUACUCGCUGUUUGCGAUAUACUGCA